UGGGGAAUAUUGCACAAUGGAGGGAACUCUGAUGCAGCGACGCCGCGUGAGUGAUGAAGGAAUUCGUUUCGUAAAACUCUGUUCUAUGGGAAGAAAAGGACUGUACCAUAGGAGAAAGCUCCGGCUAAAUACGUGCCAGCAGCCGCGGUAAUACGUAUGGAGCGAGCGUUGUCCGGAAUUAUUUGGCGUAAAGGGUGCGCAGGCGGCUUUACAAGUUGGAUGUGAAAUAUUGUGGCUCAACCACAAACGUGCAUCCAAAACUGCAAAGCUUGAGUUAAGGAGAGGUAAGUGGAAUUCCUGGUGUAGCUGUGGAAUGCGUAGAUAUCAGGAGGAAUACCGGUGGCGAAGGCGACUUACUGGACUUAAACUGACGCUCAGGCACGAAAGCGUGGGGAGCAAACAGG
rnacentral:rRNA from 1 species